GCAACCAAACAUCCGCUUGAAGUUGAGAGUUUAACUUUUUAAUUUAAAUUUAGUUUUCAAAGACAGAUCAACAAAUUAUUCGACCGAACAGGAUAAUGAUAUUGUUUGUGAUAUAUUGUUACAUUCCACAAGAAAAACAUAACCAAUUAUAAUUUUAACAGAAUGCAAUCAUGCCACAUGUUAGGGUAUUAUAAAACAAUUCCCCAUAAUUGAACUCAGGUUUAAGGAUCAACGCUUAGGUUUAAGGAUCCACACAUAAAGUUACUGAGUCCUCAUUCUGCUACUUUCUGCUGCCCUUACUUGAGAGAAAUACGGAUGUGCC
rnacentral:lncRNA from 1 species